CAGCCACACACAAAGAACGUACCCAGGAGCUACAGAACAAUAAAAGCAGGUUAUGGAUCCAGGCACCGAACUGCAUAAAUUGAACAAGCCGGCUUCUUCCAUUUUCUAGAAUAUCUGGUCUGUUGCAGCCCUGAGAUGUGUUGCGCAGCAAGAAAUAGAUGUUCUGUGAUGAGAGUGGCACCUUCAGGACAAAGAUCGUUAUUAAGCUUGAGC